rnacentral:rRNA from 1 species
GAAUAUUGCACAAUGGAGGAAACUCUGAUGCAGCGACGCCGCGUGAACGAUGAAGGCCUUCGGGUCGUAAAGUUCUGUCCUUGGGGACGAUAAUGACGGUACCCAAGGAGGAAGCCCCGGCUAACUACGUGCCAGCCGCCGCGGUAAUACGUAGGGGGCAAGCGUUGUCCGGAUUUAUUGGGCGUAAAGGGUGCGUAGGCGGCCUUUUAAGUCAGAUGUGAAAGGUCACGGCUCAACCGUGGUAAGCAUUUGAAACUGGAAGGCUUGAGUUAAGGAGAGGAAGGUGGAAUUCCUAGUGUAGCGGUGAAAUGCGUAGAUAUUAGGAGGAAUACCAGUGGCGAAGGCGACUUUCUGGACUUAUACUGACGCUGAGGCACGAAAGCGUGGGGAGCAAACAGG